GACGAACGCUGGCGGCGUGCCUAAUACAUGCAAGUAGAACGCACAGUUUAUACCGUAGCUUGCUACACCAUAGACUGUGAGUUGCGAACGGGUGAGUAACGCGUAGGUAACCUGCCUGGUAGCGGGGGAUAACUAUUGGAAACGAUAGCUAAUACCGCAUAAUAUUAAUUAUUGCAUGAUAAUUAAUUGAAAGGUGCAAUUGCACCACUACCAGAUGGACCUGCGUUGUAUUAGCUAGUAGGUGAGGUAACGGCUCACCUAGGCGACGAUACAUAGCCGACCUGAGAGGGUGAUCGGCCACACUGGGACUGAGACACGGCCCAGACUCCUACGGGAGGCAGCAGUAGGGAAUCUUCGGCAAUAGACGAAAGUCUGACCGAGCAACGCCGCGUGAGUGAAGAAGGUUUUCGGAUCGUAAAGCUCGGUUGUAAGAGAAGAACGGGUGUGAGAGUGGAAAGUUCACACUGUGACGGUAUCUUACCAGAAAGGGACGGCUAACUACGUG
rnacentral:rRNA from 1 species